rnacentral:misc_RNA from 1 species
CUCGGGCAGCAUCUUGGGCAAUUUUAACUCUAGCAGCAAAAGGAAGAGGUGUAUGAAACCCACUUGGCAAGUGAUCUUGCAUGCUUUUGUUGGACAUAUAUUCAUAUAUUAACAGGCGCUGGAUUCCUCUUUCAUCCUCCUCAGCGCAGUAGCCCAAUAAUUUUACAAGAUUUGGAUGUUCAACAACUACUAAAACAUUUACU